UACGAGAGGCGCAAACGUUAUUCGGAUUUACUGGGCUUAAAGAGUUCGUAGGCGGCGCAGAAAGUAGGGUGUGAAAGCCCUCGGCUCAACCGAGGAAUUGCGCUCUAAACUACUGUGCUCGAGGGACCUAGAGGUGAGCGGAACUGAUGGUGGAGCGGUGAAAUGCGUUGAUAUCAUCAGGAACACCGGUGGCGAAGGCGGCUUUCUGGGUCUUACCUGACGCUGAGGAACGAAAGCCAGGGGAGCGAACGGG
rnacentral:rRNA from 1 species